CCGGUAGUUCAGUUGGUUAGAACGCCAGCCUGUCACGCUGGAGGUCAUGGGUUCGAGCCCCAUUCG
rnacentral:tRNA from 4 species